CCCUUAGAUGUUCUGGGCCGCACGCGCGCUACACUGACGAAUGCAACGAGCUUAUAAUUAUAACCUUGGCCGAAAGGUCUGGGUAAUCUCCAAAUUUCGUCGUGAUGGGGAUAGAUUAUUGCAAUUAUUAAUCUUCAACGAGGAAUGCCUAGUAAGCGCAAGUCAUCAGCUUGCGUUGAUUACGUCCCUGCCCUUUGUACACACCGCCCGUCGCUCCUACCGAUUGAAUGGUCCGGUGAAGCGUUCGGACCGUGGCCUUUGGACGGUUCGCCGUCUGUUGGCUGCGGGAAGUUCGUUAAACCUUAUCAUUUAGAGGAAGGAGAAGUCGUAACA
rnacentral:rRNA from 1 species